GACGAACGCUGGCGGCGUGCUUAACACAUGCAAGUCGAACGGAAAGGCCCUGCUUUUGUGGGGUGCUCGAGUGGCGAACGGGUGAGUAACACGUGAGUAACCUGCCCUUGACUUUGGGAUAACUUCAGGAAACUGGGCCAAAACCCGGAUAGGAGCCCCCUCUCAAUGGGGGGGGUGGGAAAGUUCCGGCGGUUGGGAAUGGCCCCGCGGCUUUUCAGCUUGUUGGUGGGGAAGUGGCUAACCAAGGCUUUGACGGGUAGCCGGCCUGAACGGGUGACCGGCCACAAUGGGACUGAGAUACGGCCCAGACUCCUACGGGAGGCAGCAGUGGGGAAUAUUGCACAAUGGGCGGAAGCCUGAUGCAGCAACGCCGCGUGCGGGAUGACGGCCUUCGGGUUGUAAACCGCUUUCGCCUGUGACGAAGCGUGAGUGACGGUAAUGGGUAAAGAAGCACCGGCUAACUACGUG
rnacentral:rRNA from 1 species